ensembl:misc_RNA Y_RNA Y RNA
GGCUGAUCCGAGUGCAAUGGUAUUUACUACUAAUUAAUUACAACCAGUUACAGAUUUCUUUGUUCCUUCUCCACUCCCACUGCUUCACUUGACUAGCCUUAA